AUGGCCAAUCCCUACUCCCACUGGUGGAAACAAUCCUGGAAAAAAAAACAAUUUCAAAAUUUCUAUGGGUUUUGGAUGACGGGACAACUUGGGCUGUCAGCCACAAUAGGUCUGCUUGAGACAGCUCAUGGGGUAGUAAGUUCUCUAAGGAAUAAAAAUGGUCAAACUGCCAGAAACUCCAUGAAUUUUUUGUUUUGUUUGUUUUUGUCCAAAGAACGCGUGUGCCUAUGGAUGUAUUGGAAAACAGAAGAGAGGGGCUUUUACCUAUUCCCACCUUUUCAGAGCUGUAACUUUAAGACACAUCAACCCUGUGGUGGUUUACACACAUUCACCAGCAGUCCUGAUCCACUGUGAAUCCAUUGUGCUAACCGUUUCCUGUAAGUCAGGUAUGAAAUCCAGUUGGAGACUUGCCCCUCAAGUCUACAUAGGACCAAGUUAGUUGAGAACGCAUUUAGUUGAGUCCCUUGUUAUCACUUUAAUACUGCUUUAGGGAAAGGAUAGAUAGAGGAUCAAAACAGAAUAGAAGACAGAGCAAGAAAGAAUAGAAAGUCAGUCUAGUUUCUUUAUUUUCCUUAUAAUGUGUCAUGUACUAUUCCACUUCUUGUUAAUUAGUUGAAUCUAUAAUCACCAUAUUAUGUUAGUGCCUAAUUACCUAUUUUGGUUCCAUUCUGUCUCAUUAGGCCAAUUUACUGUUCUACAUCUUUUUUUUUUUUUUCAAUAGUAAAAAAGAUGAUAAAAAUAACAUCAGAAACAUCUCCAAUGCUGCCUAUCAGACUCUUUCCACAACAAAAACACUGCAUACACAUUUCAUUUUGCAUGUCACAUUUAUUUCCUUCUGCAUUAUACUUGGAGCUGAUGGCUAUAUUCUGCUCUGAUGCAAAUGACACUGUGUGAUUUAGAAACAGCAGAAUUAGGAAACAAAUUCAAAACAAAACAGCUGGCUGAAGAUAGAUAGGGACUUAAGACAGAGUGAUCGGGUACAAAAUGUUUUAGAUUAAUGGUUUUGGAUUUCCCAGAAUCUCAGGAAAUAUUAUGAAUCCUCAAAUCUCAUGUUGCACCCACAUCACAACUGGUGCGGGUGAUAGGAAAUUUGGAUCGUGCUUCAGACAGCUAAAAUUUCAUGGACUUACUAAACCUUGCUGUAUUUCUUUAGCACUAAGCUCAAAAACAAUUUUGAGUUUUGGGUACAAAACACAAGAAUCUGAUACAAGAUCUUGAUUUGAUCUCAAGCUUGUUCCUACACCAACUUGCUAUAACCUUUGUUUAUGCCACAAAUGAAAUGUACUUUAAAAUAGCUUAGAUUUUUUUUUCCUGUGAUAUUUUACUGAUAUUUCUUUACACAUAUGGGUAUAAA
rnacentral:lncRNA from 1 species